UACGUAGGGUGCAAGCGUUGUCCGGAAUUAUUGGGCGUAAAGAGCUAGUAGGCGGUCUGUCGCGUCGGCUGUGAAAUCCCGAGGCUCAACCUCGGGUCUGCAGUCGAUACGGGCAAACUAGAGUAUUGCAGGGGAGACUGGAAUUCCUGGUGUAGCGGUGAAAUGCGCAGAUAUCAGGAGGAACACCGGUGGCGAAGGCGGGUCUCUGGGCCGAUACUGACGCUGAGGAGCGAAAGCGUGGGGAGCGAACAGG
rnacentral:rRNA from 1 species